GCUCAGCCUUGUAUUCCCAGGUCCUCCCACUGAGUGAUUAGCACUGAACACUGACUACUCACCAUGCAUUUCAGGCUCAGCUUGGUUUUCCUUGUCCUUAUUUUAAAAGGUGUCCAGUGUAAGGUGAAGCUGGUGGAAUCUGGGGGAGGCUUAGUGCAGCCUGGAAGCUCCCUGAAACUCUCCUGUGCAGCCUCCGGAUUCACUUUCAGUGACUAUGGAAUGAAUUGGGUUCGCCAGGCUCCAGAGAAGGGGCUGGAGUGGGUUGCAUACAUUAGUCGUGCUAGUAAUGACAUAUACUAUGCAGACACCGUGAAGGGCCGAUUCACCGUCUCCAGAGACAACCCCACGAACACUUUGUACCUGCAAAUGAGCAGUCUGAGAUCUGAGGACUUGGCCAUGUAUUUCUGUGCAAGAGACACAGUAAGUGAAUGUUACUGUGUUCAGUAUGAGGUACAGCUGGUGGAGUCUUGGGGAGGCUUAGUGCAGCCUGGAAAGCUUCUGAAAUUCUCCUGUGCAGUGUCUGCUUUGACCCUCAGUGACUAUAGUAUGGUUCAGUAA